AACGAACGCUGGCGGCAUGCCUAACACAUGCAAGUCGAACGAGAUCUUCGGGUCUAGUGGCGCACGGGUGCGUAACGCGUGGGAAUCUGCCCUUUGGUUAGGAAUAACAGUUGGAAACGACUGCUAAUACCGGAUAAUGACGAAAGUCCAAAGAUUUAUCGCCAGAGGAUGAGCCCGCGUAGGAUUAGCUAGUUGGUGUGGUAAAGGCGCACCAAGGCGACGAUCCUUAGCUGGUCUGAGAGGAUGAUCAGCCACACUGGGACUGAGACACGGCCCAGACUCCUACGGGAGGCAGCAGUGGGGAAUAUUGGACAAUGGGCGAAAGCCUGAUCCAGCAAUGCCGCGUGAGUGAUGAAGGCCUUAGGGUUGUAAAGCUCUUUUACCCGGGAUGAUAAUGACAGUACCGGGAGAAUAAGCUCCGGCUAACUCCGUGCCAGCCGCCGCGGUAA
rnacentral:rRNA from 1 species